rnacentral:lncRNA from 1 species
GGCCAGCAUCCGAGAGCCCGGACUGGAGAUUUCUGAGAGAGCAGACACCAUCUUAUUUCUGUUGAAUUGUAUUUAGUAACUCAAAAGGCAUAUACCAAGCUGUCAGAAGCAGCUUCAUUUAAAAGAAAUAAAAUUUCUAGUCCUGCCUGAAGUUUAAGCUAGCCCAUGACUACUCAAGUGCAACUGUAUUUCCCAGAAUUAAAGCAGCAGCCUUGGAUCCAGAGAUGGACGCCAAUUGAUGAAGACGGCAGAACUGACUGGCUAGUCUGGGUUCCCUGGAGCAGAGCUGUCUCUCCACCCUAGGUUAUCCACUUACUUUUGUACUGUUAUGUGAGAGAGAAAUAAACUUCUAUCUUCUUUAA